ACCUGAUCUAUCAGACUGUGGGGAAUAAAAUCUGCAAGCCUGGCAUCAUAUUGGCACUGAAAUAACUCAUAUACCACAUUACUCAGUUGUGUAGUAGAUAAGGCAUCAAUCUGGCCUGAGCUUGGCAUCCUGUUACUCAGGAAUUCCGAUGACUGUAUCAGCUGAUGGAGCGCUUCUCAGAAGGCCCUUGCUGUUCUGAAAAGCUUGAUACUGAGGAAUGACCCGAGAACCACUUACUUUGAUGAUGACAUCUGGACUUGUUGGCAAGACAGUUCAGGACCAACAUGAAAAUCAGAUCCUCCUCAGAAUCUCAGAACAUGCUGGUCCUGAACUUCAAUCAACUGGCCUUUAAAAGAUUUCUACUUGCCAAAUGUGGAUUUACCCUCAAACAGCUGCCCUCCAGUGUACAUUCCACAGUUCCUGCCUAAUAGCGUGAUCACUAGCAUUUCCCCAAAUUAAUGCUUUUACCCUGAUCCAUAAGUAAGUUAAAGCUUACAGUAUUAUGAUCACUGUUCCCAAAAUGCUCCCCCACUGAAACUUCAAUCACCUGGCUGGGCUCAUUCCCCAAUACCAGGUCUGGGAGGGCACCUUCCCUAGUUGGCCGACUGACAUAUGUUUCAAAAAACCAUCCUGGACACACUGAAUAAAUUCCACCCCCAUCCAAGCCCCUGACACUAAGUGAGUCCGGGUCAAUAUAGGGGAAGUUAAAAUCACCACCAAAAUAACUCUUGUUUUCAUGUUUUUCCAUAAUCUGCUCACAUAUCAGUUCAAAUAUCUCCCACUGACUACUGGGGGUCUUUAGUAUUAGCCCAUCAAAAUGAUUAUAUCCUUCCUAUUCCUGAGCUUUACUCAUUUGGCCUUGUGGGAUGAGCCUUCUAAGGUGUCCUCCCUCAGUACAGCUGUAAUAUACCCCUCUGUCAGCAACACAGCUCCCCCACCUCUUUUACAUCCCUCUCACUCUCACCUGAGACAUCUCAAUCCUGGAAGAUUUAGCUGCCAGU